GACGAACGCUGGCGGCGUGCUUAACACAUGCAAGUCGAACGGAGUGGCGAACGGGCGAGUAACACGUGGGUGACCUGCCCUGCACUUCGGGAUCAGCCUGGGAAACUGGGUCUAAUACAGGAGAGUGUGGGAUGGGCCCGCGGCCUAUCAGCUUGUUGGGGGGGUAAUGGCCUCCCAAGGCGGCGACGGGUAGCCGGACUGAGAGUGUGGACCGCCACAUUGGGGCGGAGAGACAGCCCAGACUAAUACGGGAGGCAGCAGUGGCGAAUAUAGCAGACUGGGCGGAGGUCUGAUGCAGCAACGCCGCGUGGGGGAUGACGGCCUUCGGGUUGGAGACUCCUUUCACCAUCGACGCGGUAGGUGGAGAAGAAGCACCGGCUAACUACGUGCCAGCAGCCGCGGUAAUAC
rnacentral:rRNA from 1 species